AGUAAAUGAUAAAUAAAAUAGUACAUCAUUAACAAAUGAUGACGAUUUGUUUGCAACAAAGUUCAAAUUUUUGCACACGAUAUUGUUUUCUAAAAAAUUGAAAUAUGACUGAAAAAGCCUUCGAUAGUGAUGGAAAACCAAUUGUGCUGUCUAGACCACUUGUAAAAAGGAUCUUAGCUAACGAUCCAAAGAGAUUUAGUGGAAAAUACAUGUUGAAAGAAAUGAUUGGAGAUAAUUUUGAUUGCGACGCUCAUUAUGAGCGCAAUAAAAAACAUGCGUAAGCAGUUGUAAAUUCUUCAAAUAUUAUUCCUGUUCCUUCCGAAUAUAAUGGAAAGCUAGAAAAUUUACGUAGCAGUGCUGCUACUUUCUACACCACUCCAAUUUCUUCUAUAUGACAAUCAGAGUGUGGCAAUUUCAUUUUGUUCCCUCCUGAUGAUGCCUACACUUUUACUACGAUUGAAAAGUUUCACACCAAGGACUGGUUUCCGAGGAUCAAUUUCAAAGAAUAUCGAGUGGCACAAAAUUCAACAUUCGAAAUCCAACAAAUUCGAAGCAAUUUAUGGGAGAUUGUAAGAAAAUACUAAUGCUUCAAGUUUUGAGUGAUUCUGAGGCGCCGAGCAAUAAAUCUAAAUAGUCGGAGAAACAAGCAACUAACACAUUCAAAAAGCUUCUAGUGAAAAGUGGAAUAAAAGCUGUUGACAGAAAAUUACCAUCUGCAAUCAACAUUUUUGACCAAGAUGCUCCUACCAGUCAAUCUCGAUCUUUGAAGCGCAAGUUUUUUGAUGAGGUGAUGUCCUCUGCUAACAAAUUAGAACCGAAGUAUAAGAAGCUGGCGAAGGGUAAUAAAUUGGCAGAAAAAGAUACCAAGGAUUCAAAAAAAUUGCUUGAGAAAACAGAAUUGAGAAAACAGCAGACCAUAAAAAUGAAAACUCCACCAGUAUCAGCGAAACAAAAAUUGGCUUCUGUUAUAUCUUACAAAUCAGACAAAGCGAUGAAACAAAUUAACUUAUUUCCGAAAGAAGAUGACGAAGCUGGUCCAAAAUUGCAAGCUUUUGUGGAUUCAAUUUCAGGAACACAUGGCAGUCAAAGGUUGUGUGACUCUGAUUUUGACAGUCCUCAACCUGGCAGUAUUCCAAGCAGCUCAGAUAUAGAAUUGACUAAUCAAGGGCAAAAAGUUCUUGAUGUUGUUGUUGAACAAAAUCUCCUACCACCACCAACCGCAAUUGCUUCACCAAUUUUUCAACAAGAAACCAGGGCCAGUAGACGCAAUGUCGGUUCUGCUGUAAUUAAUUAUGCAGAAACGAAAAGUGACAGUGGAUCUGAUUUUGCUCAACCGACUUCAUUCGAUUUUUCAAUUCCUCCACAACAACCAGCAAUUCUGAAACCUAUUGUACAUAAUAAGAGCAUAGUGACUGCUGUCCCUAAAACUCCAUCUCCAACUAGAUUAAUUGUUCCAACCUGAGGUUAUACCUCUGUUCCUGUUGUUGCCAUACCCCGGGACAAAGAAAUGUAAGAUCUAUUUUCAAUUAUGAGCACUCAAAAUAUGGUGACCAGCAGUUAAGUCAGCAAUUUUGAUCUCAAUAACACAUGCGCUUCGGUCAUCAAGUAUAUGAAUGAAAAUCCGUCUGGAAGUGGAAUUUUGUUAAAUCUGCUAACAACCGUCAAAGACAUUCAGGUUGACCAAAAACUAUUGAAAAAUCAAUUUCAGCUUUUGGUUUCAACUCUCAAUCGCGAUAGAAGUUUUUAACAAUCAAUGGGAACAGUGAUUUUUACUUCUCCAUGGCAAGCGAAAUUCAAAAAAUUUGCCAAUUACCUUUGUCAAAAAUUGGCGAUUUAUGCGUUGCCGAAGAAAUGUUCAAGAAUGCUGAUUAUGUCAGCUUCUUGUUAAUGAUUUUUGUUACGAAUUCGGUUGCUGGUGGCCCAGUGGGAAUGGUAGCUGGGUUUGUGUGGGAUAAAUUUUUUACCCCAAGCUUAUCCAGCCUCAUUGCCUGGGCCAGCAUUGAUGAAUGCAGGGAAGAUGGCUUCAAAGAAUUUGGUAGGAAAGAUGGGGAGAAGAAGAAAUUGCUGUUGUUUAAAUCACGUUUUCCGAGAUUGACCCAAAUGAUUUACCACAUCAUUCGGCGACGUGCAAUGCUGAGUGAAAAGAAACCACGGUCAACAUUCAAAAUGAAUGAAGAAAUUAAGAAAGCUAGGGCUGUCAGCGUCAGAAGAUAUACUACUGGAAUGUAUAUUACGGACUUUCAAGACUCCUCUUCAGCGUAUCCCGGCAGAUUGUGUUUGGCAAUGUUUUCUGAAGAUAUAGACCAGGGACCAGAACUUAAUCAAGCAGAUUUCAAAGAAGAUCAGAAAGUCCGAAGAAAUACGUGCUUCAUUUGCUCCAAUAGAAGUGCUAUUUGUCAAAUCGAAGCUGAAGGAUUUGCUGGUGACAAAUUGGGCUGAACAAGUCGAAAUAAAUCGAAGAAAUCUUCUGCAGCUGCUAAGAAAAAGGCGAAGAAAUUCGUGAAGAAAAAUAAUACAGUAGAAAAAACUGCUGGUGGAAGUUGUAGACGAUCAAAUCGAAGAGUCAAUGAGAAACCGAGGAGGGAGUUUUUGAAUUAUUGUUCGUUUGCUCAUCGCUUUCAACGUAUUGAAGAAAGAGCGAUGAAUAAUAUGUCUGAAGGAGUUUCAUUCUUGGAUUGUUCGGCGAUGACAAACCAAUUGAUUGAGGCACGUUCCUUGUACCAAGGGUACCUAUAAAUUCGAGCCUACCACGCGGAUGAUGACGAUAUUGGCGCGCCAGAAGACAAUUCACCUCCAGGUUGUGGCAAUAAACAAUCUGGUCAAAGUUCAACUAUUUCCAAGAAAAAGCGUCCACGAGCAUGUGGUGAUACUGACGAGAGUGAAACCGAAGGUGAUAACAGUGAUGCGAGCAAUAGCAGCAAUGACGAAGAAGAAAAGAGCGACAAAGGGACAGAAAGUGAUAAAGAUUUGGUGCUAUUCUCAGUUAGUCCGGUGCAAUUCUCAGAUAGCGAAGUUAGCGAAACUAGUGAAGAGGACGUAGUUGAGGAAGUUCAGGUAAUACCAAAACCAAAGGUAAAUUUUGAUUUUAAAUCAAUGCACUAAGAAAAAAAUUAGAGCUGUUGACAUUUUUUUUAAACAGAAGAAGAAGUCGAAGAAGAGGUCUGAACACCAUGGAGAAAGACAAACAUUUUAGUUCUUGAACAUAUUUUCUAUUUUGAAGUUUUUUUCUCUCAGUUUAUUAUAUUAUCAGCUUGAAUGGUAUUUAAACUAAUUGUUGCAGACUUCUAAGUCAUGAGAUGAAUAAUUUAGUUAAAGAUGCUGAAUAGUUAAUGAAUGAAGGUUUGUAGUUUUCUUGCCUUUGUGUCACUGACAGUGUCAUCUUUUUAUAUUUGUUUAGCUUUAAAGUUUUUUUAUUGAAUUCUUAGAGAGUAAGUUAUUUUUUUAAUUUUGUUACAGAAUCGUUAUAUUUAUUUCUCUGUUUUCUUUCGAAAUUCGUGUUUAAAAUGCAUAUAAGUUUUUGAAGUUUUGCUUUUUUUUUUCAUUUUCUUAUAUUACAGCAUUAUAAUCUUAUAUUAUAAAAAGAAUAUAAUAAAAUAAUUUUUAUUUUAUGUAUGUAAAUAUUUUUAUAUUUGUUAGUUGACAAUAAUUUAGAAAAUAGAGAAGUCCAAAGUAAACUUAAAUAUAUUUUGAAUUUUUUAUGAGUGAAUUUGUGUUUUUGUUUUAUUUUAUUAUAAAUUGCAGUUUGUGUAUGUAUAUACAUUUACAAACUGCCAUCUAUAAAUGAACUUAAGUAUUUACAUUUAGUUUUUAUUUCAUUACACAAGCCAUGGGUUUUGAUAUUUAGCUUUUAUUUAGCUUUUGCUUUUUUUGUUGUAAAUACUUUAUAUGGCUUUGUUUAAUUUGAGAUUUGUUGGUUGUGUUUAUUUAGCUUUUCUUGUUAAGGUGCUGAUUUGCUGAGAAGAAAGUUACACAAGCGAAUUUUAAGUUUGUAUAUACUUUUGAUAUUAUGUUUAUAAAUGUUCUGAUCUUUAAAAUGAAUAAAAUCAUUUUUGGUAAUGUUAUCUUGAAUUUUAAAGUAUUAUUUUUUUAUACUUAAAACUUUUUUCUUUUUUUUUAGACUUUAAAAAUUUCUAUUUAUGAUUUAUAACAUAUAUUUUUAAAGUUCUGCUUUCACGAUAUUUGGUUUUAGUUGGCUCACUGUUUAAUAUAACUUUAAUUUAGUAAAUUUGAAACUCAAUUAAAUAAUCAAUUAAAGCUAGCGAGUAAGUCACUUUGAUUCAAUAACACCGAGGAAUUUAUGACUUAAAUUUUUUUGCUUGAAUAGAUUCCAAUUAUUUUUAUAUACUAUAAACAUUGUCAGUUUCUAACUCAUUUAGUAUAUUCAAUGACAAUCAAUUGUGAAGCAACAAUAACAUUGUGAAAUUUUUAUAGGCAUAUGUUUGGUGUGCAUCUUAAGAUCAUGUUGGUGUUUUUAAUAAAUGUUGAACUUUUUGAUAAAAUUUAAUUUGUGUACGUAAACUUGGUCAAAUUUAUCUAAAAUAGGUUUUUAAUAUGUUAUAUAUAUGAAAUUAGUUAUCAUAAAGUUCAAAAUCAAAACUUUUUGCCUGCAGUGGAAAAGCUAAGAAAAAGGACUUAGCCCGAAGAUUUGUUUUAUAUAAAUAAAUGCAAUAAUAUAAGGGAGUUAGAUGAAAGAUUAAUAAUAAAGAAAAGUUUCAUUUGUUGGUUUCGUUUAUUCUUUACAUUAAUAUAUAUAGGAAAUAUUUUGUAGGGCUGUCAACUUUAUCGAAAAGGUGAUAGUUCAAUUUCAGCUUCGAUUAAUAAAGUUUUUGAUAAAGCUAUGUCUAUAUUCAAUCAUUGUUUAAUAAAGCAGGGAGAUAUGACAAAAGAUUAUUUUAAAAACAUUGUUGUACAAAGCAAGUAGAAACAAUGCUGUCACAUGUAACAAAAUUCGAUUCGGUGUCAGUUCGUUAAUGCGUUGAUAGGCGAUCAAGAGAGCUCCUUAAAAAAUAAAAUAUUUUAUAUCGUUUUUGUAUACUUUUUCAUUAAAAAUAAAUAUAAAAUUAUUAAA